rnacentral:rRNA from 1 species
AUGAACGCUAGCUACAGGCUUAACACCUGCAAGUCGAGGGGAAACGACAUCGAAAGCCUGCUUUUGAUGGGCGUCGACCGGCGCACGGGUGAGUAACGCGUAUCCAACCUGCCCAUCACUUGGGAAUAACCUUGCGAAAGUAAGACUAAUACCCAAUGACAUCCCACGAAGACAUCUGAAUGGGAUUAAAGAUUUAUCGGUGAUGGAUGGGGAUGCGUCUGAUUAGCUUGUUGGCGGGGUAACGGCCCACCAAGGCAACGAUCAGUAGGGGUUCUGAGAGGAAGGUCCCCCACAUUGGAACUGGGACACGGUCCAAACUCCUACGGGAGGCAGCAGUGAGGAAUAUUGGUCAAUGGGCGAGAGCCUGAACCAGCCAAGUAGCGUGCAGGAUGACGGCCCUAUGGGUUGUAAACUGCUUUUAUAAGGGAAUAAAGUGGGUCUCGUGAGACUUUUUGCAUGUACCUUAUGAAUAAGGACCGGCUAAUUCCGUG